CACGUAGGGACCAAGCGUUGUCCGGAUUUAUUGGGCGUAAAGCGCUCGUAGGCGGUUUGGUAAGUCGGGUGUGAAACCUCCAGGCUCAACCUGGUGACGCCACCCGAUACUGCUAUGACUUGAGUUCGGUAGGGGAGACUGGAAUUCCUGGUGUAGCGGUGAAAUGCGCAGAUAUCAGGAGGAACACCGGUGGCGAAGGCGGAUCUCUGGGCCUUGCCUGACGCUGAGGCGCGAAAGCUAGGGGAGCGAACAGG
rnacentral:rRNA from 1 species